ACUCCUGUAGCAAUACAGGGGUGGGGGAAGUGGCGAAAGGGGCAGUAAUGCGUGGGUAACCUACCCCGGGGACCGGGAUAGCCGCCCUAACGGGCGGGUAAUACCGGGCGAUGUGAUUGAGGGGCAUCUCUUGAUCACGAAACGAUUUAUCGCCUCGGGAGGGGCUCACGUGGUAUUAGCUAGUUGGUGGGGUGAUGGCCCACCAAGGCUGAGAUGCCUAGCAGGCGUGAGAGCGUGACCUACGCCACUGGCACUGAGACACUGGCCAGACUCCUACGGGAGGCUGCAGUCGAGGAUCUUCGGCAAUGGGCGCAAGCCUGACCGAGCGACGCCGCGUGCGCGAUGAAGGCCUUCGGGUUGUAAAGCGCUGUCGAGGGGGAGGAAAGCCCGCAAGGGCCUGACCUAUCCCUGGAGGAAGCACGGGCUAAGUUCGUGCCAGCAGCCGCGGUAAGACGAACCGUGCGAACGUUGUUCGGAUUCACUGGGCUUAAAGGGCGCGUAGGCGGGCGGCCAGGCCCGGGGUGAAACCGUUCGGCUCAACCGGACGACUGCCCUGGGGACCGGCUGCCUCGAGGGGGGUAGGGGCACGCGGAACUUCCGGUGGAGCGGUGAAAUGCGUUGAUAUCGGAAGGAACUCCGGUGGCGAAAGCGGCGUGCUGGGCCCCACCUGACGCUGAGGCGCGAAAGCCAGGGGAGCAAACGGGAUUAGAUACCCCGGUAGUCCUGGCCCUAAACGAUGGGUACUAAGGUAGCGGGCCGGACAUGGGCCCGCUGCCGGAGCGAAAGUGCUAAGU
rnacentral:rRNA from 1 species